GGCGUUGUAGCAAAGUGGUUACUGCGUUAGCCUCGAAUCUUGUACAGAAAGGUCCAGCUAAUCCUCUUUGAGGGCGUAGGUUCGAAUCCUGCCAACGUCG
rnacentral:tRNA from 2 species